rnacentral:snRNA from 1 species
AUGUGGCAGACAUAUAUAUAUUAAAAUUGGAACCAUACAGAGAAGAUUAGCGUGGCCCCAUGCAAGGAUAAUGCAAAUUUGUGAAGUGUUCAAUAUUUUU